GAUGAACGCUGGCGGCGUGCCUAAUACAUGCAAGUCGAGCGAACAGACGAGGAGCUUGCUCCUCUGACGUUAGCGGCGGACGGGUGAGUAACACGUGGAUAACCUACCUAUAAGACUGGGAUAACUUCGGGAAACCGGAGCUAAUACCGGAUAAUAUAUUGAACCGCAUGGUUCAAUAGUGAAAGACGGUUUUGCUGUCACUUAUAGAUGGAUCCGCGCCGCAUUAGCUAGUUGGUAAGGUAGCGGCUUACCAAGGCAACGAUGCGUAGCCGACCUGAGAGGGUGAUCGGCCACACUGGAACUGAGACACGGUCCAGACUCCUACGGGAGGCAGCAGUAGGGAAUCUUCCGCAAUGGGCGAAAGCCUGACGGAGCAACGCCGCGUGAGUGAUGAAGGUCUUCGGAUCGUAAAACUCUGUUAUUAGGGAAGAACAAAUGUGUAAGUAACUAUGCACGUCUUGACGGUACCUAAUCAGAAAGCAACGGCUAACUACGUG
rnacentral:rRNA from 1 species